UAUGCACAAACUGAACUUGGUCAUGGCUCCAAUGUUCAAGGGCUUGAAACCACUGCAACAUUUGAUCCUGAGACAGAUGAAUUUGUCAUUCAUAGUCCCACACUAACUUCAAGCAAAUGGUGGCCUGGUGGAUUGGGUAAAGUUUCCACACAUGCUGUUGUUUAUGCGCGUCUUAUAACUGAAGGUCAAGAGCAUGGAGUACAUGGCUUUAUUGUCCAACUUCGGAGUUUGGAUGAUCACAUGCCUCUUCCAGGCAUAACAGUUGGUGAUAUUGGAAUGAAAUUUGGGACUGGGGCAUAUAAUACCAUGGACAAUGGUGUUUUAAGAUUUGAU
rnacentral:misc_RNA from 1 species